rnacentral:rRNA from 1 species
CACUUGAGGUGUGCCAGCAGCCGCGGUAAUACGGAGGAUCCGAGCGUUAUCCGGAUUUAUUGGGUUUAAAGGGAGCGUAGGCGGAUUGUUAAGUCAGUUGUGAAAGUUUGCGGCUCAACCGUAAAAUUGCAGUUGAUACUGGCAGUCUUGAGUGCAGUAGAGGUGGGCGGAAUUCGUGGUGUAGCGGUGAAAUGCUUAGAUAUCACGAAGAACUCCGAUUGCGAAGGCAGCUCACUGGAGUGUAACUGACGCUGAUGCUCGAAAGUGUGGGUAUCAAACAGG